rnacentral:rRNA from 2 species
CCACCACUAAGCCAGUGGUGAACUCCACAUACGCAUCCUUUGCUGAGGAUACGGUUAACGGAGCGAAAGCGACGUUCAACCUCAAAAGAAGCAGAGGGGGCUUAGUGGUGGGGUGACUGCGUACCUUUUGUAUAAUGGGUCAGCGACUUAUAUUCUGUAGCAAGGUUAACCGCAUAGGGGAGCCGUAGGGAAACCGAGUCUUAACCGGGCGUUAAGUUGCAGGGUAUAGACCCGAAACCCGGUGAUCUAGCCAUGGGCAGGUUGAAGGUUGGGUAACACUAACUGGAGGACCGAACCGACUAAUGUUGAAAAAUUAGCGGAUGACCUGUGGCUGGGGGUGAAAGGCCAAUCAAACCGGGAGAUAGCUGGUUCUCCCCGAAAGCUAUUUAGGUAGCGCCUCGUGAACUCAUCUCCGGGGGUAGAGCACUGUUUCGGCUAGGGGGCCAUCCCGGCUUACCAACCCGAUGCAAACUGCGAAUACCGAAGAAUGUUAUCACGGGAGACACACGGCGGGUGCUAACGUCCGUCGUGAAGAGGGAAACAACCCAGACCGCCAGCUAAGGUCCCAAAGUCAUGGUUAAGUGGGAAACGAUGUGGGAAGGCACAGACAGCCAGGAUGUUGGCUUAGAAGCAGCCAUCAUUUAAAGAAAGCGUAAUAGCUCACUGGUCGAGUCGGCCUGCGCGGAAGAUGUAACGGGGCUAAACCAUGCACCGAAGCUGCGGCAGCGACACUAUGUGUUGUUGGGUAGGGGAGCGUUCUGUAAGCCGUUGAAGGUGUCCUGUGAGGGAUGCUGGAGGUAUCAGAAGUGCGAAUGCUGACAUAAGUAACGAUAAUGCGGGUGAAAAACCCGCACGCCGGAAGACCAAGGGUUCCUGUCCAACGUUAAUCGGGGCAGGGUGAGUCGACCCCUAAGGCGAGGCCGAAAGGCGUAGUCGAUGGGAAACAGGUUAAUAUUCCUGUACUUGGUGUUACUGCGAAGGGGGGACGGAGAAGGCUAUGUUGGCCGGGCGACGGUUGUCCCGGUUUAAGCGUGUAGGUGUGUGUUCCAGGUAAAUCCGGUUCACUUUAACACUGAGGCGUGAUGACGAGGCACUACGGUGCUGAAGUGACAAAUGCCCUGCUUCCAGGAAAAGCCUCUAAGCAUCAGGUAACACGAAAUCGUACCCCAAACCGACACAGGUGGUCAGGUAGAGAAUACCAAGGCGCUUGAGAGAACUCGGGUGAAGGAACUAGGCAAAAUGGUGCCGUAACUUCGGGAGAAGGCACGCUGAUAUGUAGGUGAAGCGGUUUACCCGUGGAGCUGAAAUCAGUCGAAGAUACCAGCUGGCUGCAACUGUUUAUUAAAAACACAGCACUGUGCAAACACGAAAGUGGACGUAUACGGUGUGACGCCUGCCCGGUGCCGGAAGGUUAAUUGAUGGGGUUAUCCGUAAGGAGAAGCUCUUGAUCGAAGCCCCGGUAAACGGCGGCCGUAACUAUAACGGUCCUAAGGUAGCGAAAUUCCUUGUCGGGUAAGUUCCGACCUGCACGAAUGGCGUAAUGAUGGCCAGGCUGUCUCCACCCGAGACUCAGUGAAAUUGAACUCGCUGUGAAGAUGCAGUGUACCCGCGGCAAGACGGAAAGACCCCGUGAACCUUUACUAUAGCUUGACACUGAACACUGGUCCUUGAUGUGUAGGAUAGGUGGGAGGCUUUGAAGUGUGGACGCCAGUCUGCAUGGAGCCAUCCUUGAAAUACCACCCUUUAAUGGCUGGUGUUCUAACGUGGGCCCCUAAUCGGGGUUGCGGACAGUGUCUGGUGGGUAGUUUGACUGGGGCGGUCUCCUCCCAAAGAGUAACGGAGGAGCACGAAGGUUAGCUAAUCCUGGUCGGACAUCAGGAGGUUAGUGCAAAGGCAUAAGCUAGCUUGACUGCGAGAGUGACGGCUCGAGCAGGUGCGAAAGCAGGUC